AUCGCUUCUCGGCCUUAUGGCUAAGAUCAAAGUGUUCUGUUCUUAUCAGCUUAACAUCUGAUAGAUCCUCCAUCGGAGGACAACAAAUGUUAAACUGAUUUUUGGGAAUGGGCGGAGUGUUUUAGGGGCUUGCUCCACCUCUGCCACGGGUUGGCCCGGUAUUACAGUACCGCCGGGAUUUUGGCCUUGAAUAA